GUCUACGGCCACACCACCCUGAACACCCCUGGUCUCGUCUGAUCUCGGAAGCUAAGCAGGGUCAGGCCUGGUUAGUGCUUGGAUGGGAGACCUCUUACAAAGGAGACAUUGGAAUAAGGGCUGUUACUA
rnacentral:rRNA from 1 species